AAAAGAGGAGCGGACGAACAUGAGUACCGCGCGCAAAGGAAAUGGAAGGUUUUCCGCAUGAUGCGCGCGCAAAAGGGUAUCUCCGCCGAAGCGCAUCCGAGUCCUUCACCCAUGCGCUGGGUCUGCGGGAGAAUACCUGCAUUCCUGUCACCCCGCGGUGAAGCGCUUUUU
rnacentral:ncRNA from 2 species